AUACACGUACGUAUACCGUUCCGAAUUAUCCCCAAAUUAAAAAUGGUUGACCGAAUAAUAGACUGAAUUUAUCUUCAAUCAAAACGAAUGAUACGCGUACGCAUGUCGUUUCGUACGUUUCCGUAUCCCGAAUUGUGAACUAGGCUACCCACUCGUUCUGCACUUCUUUAUUUAAUUAAUUUAGUAAAAAGCAGUUUUCGGUGGUGUAUAUAUAGGGGAGCAUACCUGAGUAUCAAUCUAUAUAUCUCUCUCUCGUUGUCAAACACCUUCCUCCAUGACCAUGGCUGACGGUAAUCAACAGGAUAUGAUGCUUUUGAGUAUUAUCCUAGAAUCUAACCUUAAGGUUGAAGCUCUACUAACGAGACUCGUCAAAUCUCAAGAAAAUCCUGAACAACAACAGAUAGAGAUCUUAAGAAGAAUUUGUAAUAAUUAUACAGUUCAGCACAAGGUACUGAUAAUGCUGUCCAACAAGAAGAAAUCAGAGAGACCCAGCCACGUGUAAAUGAACCGGAGAAGAGAAGAUGAGAAGUUAGAGUGAGAAGUAGAAAUCACGUGACGUUAAUAGAAUAAGGAUUUUCUUAUCUUGUAUACCCGUAUACAGGAUAAGCAUUAAUUAGCUGUAAUUUUUUUAUUGAUUUUAUAACAUUUUUCUUGGUAAAUAAAAAUUUCGGUAAAAUAAAAACACAGUAAUCACAAAAAUGAUUAUUCCUUUACUACCCCUAUACUUGCAGCAUUGAUCAUCUAUGUUGAGUCCGCCUUUCUUCACAGAUCACAAAAAAAUUCCAUGGAACCCGUUUUGAUAAUUUUGAGAUUCUAGCUUAUGUAAAAAAUCCACCGCAGAAUAAUUUAUGUA